CACAGGCCCACAGCCACUCUGUGUGGCUCUAGUGUGAAACAGAACCAAGACAGAGAUCAGAGUCCAGCUAUGUGAAACUCUUUCAGUUCCCAAGUCACAGAGUCUAGUCAAGGACAAAACUAUCCUCAUUUUGUACUCAAGAUAUCUGAUAUCUAAGAUGUCCAAUGCAGGAUUUAUAUGACUGAUUGACUGAUCUUGUGUUGUUAACGGUGCUCAUUCUGCAUUUGCAGAGCCCAGGAAUGUCUGUGUCCUGAACAACAUCGAAUACCAGCCUGGGGUGAUCGUGCCAGUGUCCCUGUGCGAGGAGUGUCAGUGCACCUCUGAGAUAGACCCCUUCACACAGCUGCACCAGAUGCAGUGCAGGAAGCAGACGUGCGACAGGAACUGCCCGGCGGGUUUCCGAUACCAGGAGGUCCCUGGCCAGUGCUGUGGAAAGUGCACCCAGGUUGCCUGUGUCUUCCCCAUGCCCAACAUCCCGGGCAGCACUGGCAACACCGAUGGCAACACCACUCCCACUGGCAGCACAGGCCACACUGGCAACACAACACCUAAAGGCCACAAUGACAACACAACAC